GUGGCCGUAGCUCAGUUGGUAGAGCACAGGAUUGUGGCUCCUGAGGUCGCGGGUUCGAUCCCCGUCGGCCACCCCA
rnacentral:tRNA from 17 species